AAAUCCGCCUAUAUCACAUCCCUUCACUCUCUCUCCCCCUCUCUUCGUCUCUCGGCUUAUUACUCUCUCAGCUUUUCACAAUUUCUAGGUCUGCCUCUCGCCGCCAGUCAAGAUUUCAGGGUUUCUCUUCUUCCACCAUUCACCGUCUUUGCGCCUGCAUUGUCUCACUGCCGUUCAUUAUCUCAUUCUGUCCUACGUACCAUUCACGAUUUCUAGGUCUUUCUAUCUCAGCUCUGUCGAAAAUUGACGCCGACAACUUCAUAUCCACCGAGUCGUCGCAGACAGCUUUAUACCACGUUCAAGAGCUGCCGAUUAUGAGUGAGCAAGAGAGUACUACUAGUGAACUAGUCACCUUGAAGAAGCGAACAUCAAAUGAUGGAUUGAUUCUAGCUGAAAGAGGCUAAUAUAGAUGGCCUUGAUGGGUAGAAAUGGUUCAUACAUGAGUUUACUAUAUGUAACAAUAGGGUUUCUUCUUGGCGCGCACUGUGAUGUGGGGAGUUCCAAUAUCUUGGCAUGUAUGACGCAAGGUGUUCGUGAACGAUUAAUGAUCUAGUUGAACGCUGAGAAAGUUUAUGAACUUUAUGUUAUGGUUUAUGUUUUUCAUUACGUCACAGUGGGACUUAUAUUUUUAUUUUAUUUUCAAGAUUGCAUGUUUUGACAAUGCCCACUAAACAUUUGAUCUAAAAUGGUAUAUUUUUAAUAAAUAUGAACUUAGCGA